GCUCCAUCUAAGGCUAAAUAUCACUGUGAGACCGAUAGCAAACAAGUACCGUGAGGGAAAGUUGCAAAGAACUUUGAAGAGAGAGUUCAAUAGGACGUGAAACCGCUUGCAGGGAAACAGAUGGACCCACGAAGUCCUGUUGUGUAGUUGUACUGUGUAAAAACAUCAGCUACACACGCCGGAGCUCUGACCUCUUGUUAAGGGUUGUUCGCUUUGUUAAGAGUAGAGAAUAAAUAGUUAGAUACUGUGCGUAUCAUCUAGUUAUUUGUCUCUUAGCGCGUCUAAUCUGUAUUGAGAGGGUGAACUGCGUACACNCNGUGUGUGUGUACGUUGCAGAUUGCUGAUGUGUGUUAAAAGAGGGAAUAGAGGAUAAGAGGUUAUUAGAGGAACGUUCAUACUUCUUCGGAGGGAGAAACUCUAGUGACAUGCUUGCUCGUAACUCUAACACAACCUUCCCUUUAAACACACUAGCUGUACAGUGAUCCAGAGUAA
rnacentral:rRNA from 1 species